rnacentral:lncRNA from 1 species
UUGUGGCAUGGUCUUUAGGCCGUUGUGAAGGCAUUAAACCGCUGAGACCCUUAGGUUGUUCUAUUUCGUUUCUCGGCCAAAUCACUUUUUUUUCUUUAAAUUAAGUUCCAAAUUCUCCAAACUCACCAAAUGACAUCUCCAACACCUGAUAACACACAAAUGCAAUGCAGUGUAACCUAAACAAAUUUAAAUGCUAGUCUAAAUUAUCAAAAUGUACAAGAAUAGAUAAUCAAAACAAUGUAAGUAUGCAUGAUGUCAUGUUUUGUUUUUCAUUUAUACAGCAGCUAGAGUAACUAGCAAAUUAUAAUACUCUACAUAAUUGGCAAAAUUCCAACUGAACUUUGAAUAACUUUAAAGUAGAGUAAAAUAUUACUCUAAAACUACCAUUCAGUUACAACAAUAGUUGUUUAUAUAUAUACGUAUACGGGACCGCUAAAUAUAUACAAAGUAGCUAGUUCAAGCCUUGAACUUCAAGGGGAACCUUACCAAUGAUGUCACGAAUAUAAUUCGCAAGUAGCUUGUAUAGAUCAAAUUCAUUUGAAAACGAACCGGCAAUCAUGUUGUGAGUACUACAAUAUUUUAUAAUUUUAUUAAAUAUUUGCCUAUCACAGAAAAUAUAUUCACCAGGCAUCACACUAUUAAUAUAUAUAUAUAUAUAUAUAUAUAUAUAAUAUUGGAAAUGAAUUACGAUAUAAAAAAAAUACGUUUUAUAAGAGUGACCUAACCGUGUUACAAAAAAAA